rnacentral:rRNA from 1 species
CAGGACGAACGCUGGCGGCGUGCCUAAUACAUGCAAGUCGAACGGUCUUUCUAUGGAAGCUUGCUUCCACUGAGAAGAUAGUGGCGAACGGGUGAGUAACACGUGGGUAACCUGCCCAUAAGAGGGGGAUAACAUCCGGAAACGGGUGCUAAUACCGCAUAGUUUUCUUGAUCGCAUGAUCGGGAAAGGAAAGACGGCCUUUGUGCUGUCGCUUAUGGAUGGACCCGCGGCGUAUUAGUUAGUUGGUGAGGUAACGGCUCACCAAGACGAUGAUACGUAGCCGACCUGAGAGGGUGAUCGGCCACAUUGGGACUGAGACACGGCCCAAACUCCUACGGGAGGCAGCAGUAGGGAAUCUUCCGCAAUGGACGAAAGUCUGACGGAGCAACGCCGCGUGAGUGAAGAAAAGGGUUUUCGGAUCGUAAAACUCUGUUGUCAGAGAAGAACAAGUUGGAGAGUAACUGCUCCAGCCUUGACGGUAUCUGACCAGAAAGCCACGGCUAACUAUGUGCCAGCCGCCGC